rnacentral:lncRNA from 7 species
CGGAGGAUGCUUCCCAUAGGGCACACAGAGUCGUGACCUCUGCACACGGUAAGGGAUAGGUUGGCGAUGGAUUCCGGCAAGAGGUCAACAUGCUACACCGCCCGAUAUUGUUGCUAUUCGUUUCGACGAACAGGUUUGACGCCACAGCGAAGGUCCGACGGCGACGUACAUGCGGAGCUACGCCGGCAGCGGACCUCACGCAUCUCCCUUCUACUGCCAUGGCAAC